rnacentral:rRNA from 1 species
UACGUAGGGGGCAAGCGUUAUCCGGAUUUACUGGGUGUAAAGGGAGCGUAGGCGGCUUAGUAAGUCAGAAGUGAAAGCCCGCAGCUCAACUGCGGGACUGCUUUUGAAACUGCCAAGCUAGAGUGUCGGAGAGGUAAGUGGAAUUCCUAGUGUAGCGGUGAAAUGCUUAGAUAUCAGGAGGAACAUCGGUGGCGUAAGCGCUUUACUGGGCCGUAAUUGACGCUGAGGAACGAAAGCCAGGGUAGCAAAUGGG